AUGCAAGUGGAGCGACGAACCAGGCUUCGGCCUGGGGCAGAGCCGCGAACGGGUGAGUAACACGUGGGUAACCUGCCCCGAUGAUUGGGACAACCCGAGGAAACUCGGGCUAAUACCGAAUGUGCCCUCCGACCACAAGGUCGCUGGGGAAAGGUAGCUUCGGCUUCCGCAUCGGGAUGGGCCCGCGGCCCAUUAGCUUGUUGGUGAGGUAACGGCUUACCAAGGCGACGAUGGGUAGCUGGUCUGAGAGGACGAUCAGCCACACUGGGACUGAGACACGGCCCAGACUCCUACGGGAGGCAGCAGUGGGGAAUCUUGCGCAAUGCGCGAAAGCGUGACGCAGCAACGCCGCGUGGGGGAAGAAGGCCUUCGGGUUGUAAACCCCUUUCAGUUGGGACGAAGCCUCGUCAGUUAAUAGCUGACUGAGGUGACGGUACCUUCAGAAGAAGCCCCGGCUAACUACGUGCCGGCAGCCGCGGUAAUACG
rnacentral:rRNA from 1 species